rnacentral:tRNA from 1 species
AUUGCUAUAGCUCAGAGGGUAGAGCAUCUCACUGUGGAUGGGACGGUCGCCGGUUCGACUCCGGCUAGCACUACCA